rnacentral:rRNA from 1 species
GACGAACGCUGACGGUGUGCUUUAGACAUGCAAGUCGAACGAGAAAGCCCUUCGGGGUGAGUAAAGUGGCGAACGGGUGAGUAACACGUGGGCAAUCUGCCCCUCGCAGGGGGACAACCGGGGGAAACCCCGGCUAAUACCCCGUAAGCUCCAGGGACCGCAUGGCCCUUGGAGGAAAGGUAGCUUCGGCCAUCCGGCGAGGGAUGAGCCCGCGGUGCAUUAGCUAGUUGGUGGGGUAACGGCCUACCAA